UGUAUCUGAAAUCAUGUCCAAAACAUCAACAAAUAGAGUACCGAGGGAGUAGUAUUUUUAUUGUUAUUAUAUUAUAAAACAUGAAUAGUACUUGAUGUGUGACUUAUGUUUUUUAGAUUUUUCAAAAAUAAUUCAAAUAAGACGAACGGUCAAAGUUCGACACGGAAACUCAUGGCUGCGCUUAUU
rfam:Oryza rufipogon genomic scaffold, chr02